GCCGCCGAGGCCUCUGCUGCCCAGGUCGCCGUAUUCCCCGCGGGGGUCAGCCGGGCUGCCGCCUCAGGCCGCCCACCCCGCUCCGGCUGCCGCCGCCGCCUCCUCUCCCUUCCCGCGGCGGGAGGAGGCGAUGGAGCGACCUCCAGGCACCGGGCAGCUUCCCCGCCCCACCCCCAGCAGCCGGCGGGGCGGAGGAGAAAGACGCCAGGAAGCAGAACGUCCCCGCCCGCAGGAGGGUCGCUCCGGGGCUGCGCCCCCUGGUUCCUGCCCGCGAGCAGCUGCCGGGACCCUCCCUGCCGUGUUGCUGCCCGGAAAGCUCGAAGGCUCUCGGGCCUGCAGGGAGGGACACUUUCUUCCUCACUGUGGCGAAGCCCUCUAUUGUCGUGACCCCACAGUUCCUGUCCCAUGGCCAGGGCCAGCUCACCAGGGAGCAGCUGCAGCAGCACGUAAAGUCAGUGCCGUCCCCCAUGCGAGAACCUGAGGAAGCCGAGACUGACCAUGAGAAACCCUGGAAGCUCAGGAAGGAAGGAGCCGCCCAGAAGCAGGGACAGGGAGCUGGUGGGGAAGACCAGAAAUCAGGUCUGUGAAGGUUCCAGAGAGGACCUGUCCUUGGGAGUCACGUUGGGGGCUGAGAUGGGGGAGGGGCAUUGGAGGACGCAGGUGCUCCAUAGAAUGUCCACUGUGAGGUACCACGUUCCGGGGCCAGGGAUUGGUGGAGAGGGAGUAUAAAGCACGAGGGUUUCUUAGGCAGCGCCCAAACAGGAGAAGGUGUGGUGGAAACCAGAGCCCUGGUCUCCGUCUAAUUGCUCCUGAGCCUCCCACUUUCUUGCCCCGCAUGUCCUGUAGCUUCCCUGAUAGACUUUCUCCCUGACUUGUAGCUGAACCUCCCACUCGCACUUGAAGACCUAGUUUCAAC
rnacentral:lncRNA from 1 species